AAUGAAUAUGUUUUAAAUUAAAAAUAGCUUUAUGAUUUUGUCUAUAACUCAAAUUUUGCUUAUCUUAAUGCAGUAUAUGAUAUGACAUAAUAUAACCUCAAAUUUCGCUUGUGAUAUGUGAUGUACUUCAUGCAAACGCGUUUUAUACUACACUACAUAUAGUGAUUUGAUUUAUUUAACACGUUGAAUGCCACACCAGUUUUACAAGAGUUUGGUCGUGGCGGCAUGAUGAAUUUUUUAUUAUGCGAUACAUAUAAUGCUGAAAUAUUACCUACAAGAGAUAUGUUAUGAUGUAUAAUCAUCAUUAAUGAAUUUAUCUCACUCAGGCCACCGGUGUCCCCCAUGGCGCUGUAGUGCAAUUUCGCUCUCGAUUCACUUGUUUAUUGCGAUUAUUAAUUAUUUCAUAUUAUUUCUUCGCGUUGCCAAAGAAUUGUUCUAUGUUGUUACAUCCCGAAACCUACCAUAAACCAUAAUCCAUCGCUUGGUCAUAUUUAUUCGGACCCGGAAUAAUCCUAAAGAAGAAUAAUCCUAAUCGCAACAAGAUUUAGCAUUCUUUACUUGACUGACAAGGCUAUUAAUUGCCAUCAUACAUCCUUCAAGUCGAAAUUAUUAUAUAUUAUAAUGAGAAUAUUGUUCAGUAAAGUAAAAGCGGAUUUUCCCAUGUUCGACAGCCAUUGGUGGAGGACGCACAUAACAGAUCUCUAUUUCAUGUAUAAAUAAAACUAUCUUUAUAUGUUUUAUACUACAUUAAUUUCGUCACACCAUUGCGGUAACGAUGGUAAUUAUUAAUAUCGAUUAUUAAUUAUAAUUAUUAUAAUAAUCGAUUUGUUCGGGUUAUGUAUUUCUACUAAUCUUGGUGCGCCGGUCACCGGUGACCUCCACGGCGCCACGGCCAAGUUGAGUACCACUCACCGGCGAGAUAAGAAUAAGAAAACAAAACUCUCUACUUCCAUUUUCAUUAUUACUUUAAUCAUCUUCUUUUCAGAAGUUCCUGUCUGCAAUCACCGGACUUCGUAGUUUUUAACUAUGAAAUGCCUCAAAGACUCAGAGCAUAGCCUGUCGACGGUUAUAUCACAUGAGGUUCUAAGGAGCGAAUAGUUACCCGAUAUUCAACACAAUUAUUCAAUAACCAAUGACUAGUGAAAGGAAUGCAACAGCGUCAUUCAAUAAGAAGAAAGACAAUUCCAAGGUUAGUGAGAUGUCACGAGGAGCGUAAUGAAGACAACUGUAAAGGAGAUGGUAGAAGCGGCGAGUGGGUCGAUUGAUGAUUUAAAUCAUCAGGGGAGUUCGAUUGAAAGCUUGACUCUCUAAAGGGGAUCUUACAAAUCCCUGCAGCGAAGAACACCAUUCUACGUGCAAGAAUAUGAACAUUCGCACUGCAUGGACAAAUAUUUCGAAAUGCAGGAGAGACAGUGCUAGAUCUACGCGUAAAGGGUGUAGUUGACGUUAUAACACGAUGGUAGACAUCGAGAAACGUAAAUGUACAACAACCUGUUAACAUAUCGAUGUAAAAAGAAGUAAUCGUAGGAGCAUUAUGAAGCAUUGAUGGAAAACGAAAACAGUAAAAUAACUUCACUGAAUCGAAACAAUUAAGAAUACCAAAUACAGAAGAAGUGAAAAGGAGAUGGUAAUAGCGCUACUGCUGCUGUUGAUGGCUCUGGGAGGAACUGCCAUUGGGAUUGGAGGUGUCCCUUGAGAAGACGGAAGCCCUGUAAUCUUUGUAGCAGGGCAGACGACGGGACGCCUCCAGCGGAGUACCGUGUGAAACUGGGGUAGGUUGAGCCUGAGACUACGAAGCUAAAUGAAAUAUCUGGGACUCAUCCUCGAUAGCCACUGUGGGCAUUCGGUGCCUACUUCGAGGGUCUGGUACCGUCCGUCGAGGACACGGCAAACGUCUUAGGACGUUUACUGCCUCGGAUUGGCGAGCCAGGAGGUAGGGGGACGCCGGUUGUACACGGGGUGGUACGGUCGAAGUUCCUUUAUGGAGCUCCGAUCUGAACGGUGGAUUUGAAGGCCAACCGUCGCAUCCUCCUGGACUGCAGAAAAAAUUGCAUGUAACUAUGGCAAUUAAGGUAGUGAGAGGAUUUCGCAACAUAGCAGCGACGGCAGUGAAACAUCAACCACAUCCUUGCUGCGUACUCUCAAUAUACUUAAGGACCCACCANUUAAUCUUGGCAUUUUCAUGGUUAAAGUCCUUCAGACCAAAAACAAGCAUCUUUCAUUUCGAGUGUUUUUUUCGAGUGUGUCUACUACGGACAGCUACGGGAAAGUUAGUUUUCUCACGUUCGGUAUCUUCCGUUAGCAACUUUCUCUCGAGGGCGGUUAGCACACUUCCUCACCCACCAUCCUACAAAAUUAACCAAUUGACAGCGAAAUCUAUUUCCCUCACUCUCCUAAGGAAGAUUUGUCUUUAACAAAAUAGCUUUUCUUGUGUCUUUCGACGCAUAUGGUCCGUUCACUUUAUUAAUUUUUCAUCUUUCGAACAGUUAACAUCCCCUUACCGGGUUUCUACCCUCAGAUCAGUCGCCUCCUUAAUAAAGUUGAUGGAGUAAAGUGUAAUUUACACGUGUUAAUUCAAUCCGUGCUCAAUUGUGACUAUUAAGAGUACAAGAAGGCGUAAUGUAGAAAAAGUUAAUAAUUGUGUUUCGGCUCAACCUUCUUGUUUCUAUAUAAUCUGAGUUAUGACCUUUGAUUUUAGGUAACAGCACUGGCGGUGCUGGCGGGGUUUCCCCCGUUUGAGCUGCCCUGUGGUGUCGUGAGUCUGCUGGGUGCGGCUGACCGUGCAGGUACCAACGUUCGGUCCAGGCGCGAAAGAACCUGCCAGAAAGUUGGUGGGUAAGCCUUGAUAAGACAGCGGCCUCGCACGGACUUAGGGUCGUCGAGGCCAUCCUGCCAAGCUGGGCGUUUAGUGUUGUACUUCGUGCCAUCGAAGAGAGGGGAUUGUCAUUAAUGCUUGACGGGGGGGGGGGGAGAGAGGCUCAUGAGUAUGUUUUCGCGAUUCCAGGCCGCUCCUGACGCGCUUCGGAGGGUCAUCGUGGAGAUUUUAGCCGGUAUGAAUCCAGCACUACCCUGUGCCCUCAUUCCCGAGGGCGCGGUGUGGCUAUGAAGGUAGCCUUCACGCAAAAAAGACGAAUCGAGAAGAGUGUUCCGACGAGUGGUAUAACGAAAGUUGAAACGAGCGUUGUAGCAAGAGAUCGAGAAGGAUGUUGAAAAUAGUGUAGGAAGUGUUGUACGUACUGUUGAAAACAGAAACUAAGGAGAGAAGAAACAGUCUCGACCUUACGGACGUCAAAAGGGGAUACUUCCAACCGGCGAACGUUUCUAGUGGCGAUGGUGUCUGCCCUGUUACCCGACGACAAGGAAGAAACGGACACGCCGGAACAGACUGUGAUCAGGCGUAACGUGAUAGCCCCUCCGAAUCUCGAAAAGACCCCAGAGUUUCGCUUUGAAGAAAUCCGGAAAAAUUCCGGCCAUAUGGAAGAUGGCGAGGGUGGUUUACUAGCGAAACCGGGAAAGGACGCGUUACUUCCGUCAUCCUACAGACCCAUUAGUAUCUUACAAGCAUUGAGCAAGAUCUGGAAAUAUACCUUUAAGAUGCUCAUCGAAAAAAACGGGGCGGGGGUUCCUGAAGGCCUCUUCUAUAUGAAAAACUUUGGAUGCAGAGAAAAUAGAAGCAUGAUUAAGACGUCUUUGGUAGAGUUUGCGGGAUGGCGGAUUCAUGUAGGAAGCGGAGGUUGGUGCGCGUUCUUGUCGCCUUGGACGUUGAAACGCCUUCAACAUUUUAAGAUGAAAGAAGAUUAUAUAAGUAAUCGACGCAUUUUAUUACAUGACUAUCUUUCGGACAGAAGAAUUUUAGCUUAUUGCAGAGACGGCAUAGUCAGAAAAAAUGUACACACAGGUGUCUCACAGGAAUCGAUCGUGGGUCUACUCCUGCGGAAUAACGUUUACGAGGGCCUGGACCUUGUAAAGGACUUGGACGCCGUAGCUUUCGUGACUUGGCCCUAGUUAUCACGAUGAGGAAGCUCCAAGACAUCGGCGAUAGGGUUCGGGAAGCCACAGAAUGGUGUGCGGACAUGGACCUUCAUCUGGCACCAGAUAAGACUGAAAUUGUACUGACGGGGAAGCGCGUCAGGGAAACCAAAAUAUUGAAAUUGAAAAAACGGAAAAACAAAGCAAAAGUAUAGUGAAAUAUUUGGGUGCUUCAUUGGACAACGCUAGGACGCAUUCUCCUCAUUUGGAUCAGAUGUGUGGCAAGACAGAGGCGUUCCUUAGCGCCAUUAGAAACCUGUUGCCGAACGUAAACGGACCCACCGGCUCCAUUAGGAAUAUGGUCAUCUGCGCUGAGCUAUCAAGAAAAUAGCUACGAUAAAGUGUCACACGCGCCCCUAUGCGUCGUGACGCGCAGUAUGCCCAUACGUAUUAAGGCCAGACAGCGGGAGAAAAAAUGACCAUUUAGAAAGAGUUUUACCGCACUCAGGAGACAAGAUACACAGGAUAAACAAGAAGAAUCCCUGAUCGAGGUCGGUCGGGUCAACUUUAAUCAAGCGGCGGGGAAUCGGUGGAGGAUUGAAUGUGCCUUUUAUAAAAUUUCAUCCAAAUUUACUUUUGUCAAAUUUGCAAGUUCUAUUAUUGCAUUAUCUGCUGUUGAUAAAUGAUAAAUAUGUAUGUGCACACAGUUCGUAUAUUGUUCGAACAACUUCUCACCCCAUAUUUAAGGGAUUAAUGUAUGUUCUAAAAAUUAAUACAAAGCAUUCAUAAUGCAUGCGAAUUACUAAGUAAUUCGUAAUAAUGUAAUAAAGUAAGAAUUAUAAAUGAACGCGAAGUCGGUAUCUAUAGAAAAUUCAAUGUAUUCAUUUUGGAAUAUAUUAAAUUUUCUGUACGUGCCACUCGUGCGUUUAUAAGAAAGACCAACACAUUGAACUGGAAGUAACAUAAAUCUACAAUCAGUAUAUUUGUACGCUAUGUCGAUGCGAAGAGGUAAUCUCUUAGUGGCAAUGCAUUUUCGUAAUAAUAUUAUGGCGGAUAGCCCGUUGCUACUUAGCCUUACAAUAAUUUAUCACUGGACGUGCGUGUAUGAAUGUUUGGAAAGUCGAUAUCAGAUUCGAAGUGGCCGAGCUGAAGAUACCGACAAUGCAACUGUUUAAGGAUACGUGAGAUAUUGCAUUGUUCGGAAAGUAAUUUCGUUUCUUCCGUCUGGAUGUCGCUAGUCGUAUCUUUAAACAAGCAACUUUGUUCUAACCUAUAGAAUCAUUACACGUUUUCACAAGUAAUACAUAAACUUCAUUUAAAAACAGAAUUGAUUUUAUAUCUGUCAAGUCGUUUUUGUUUGUUUUGUCAUAUUAAAAAUGAAAAACCAAAGUGGGCAUUUUCAUCGUUUGCUCUUCAUUACCGUAAAGACGUAAAUGCAGUGCCAAUAAGAAAAAGCAGAAAUUAAAAGGUAAUUUCGUCCUUAAAAAUGUGCCACGUUCUAAAAGGCUGGUAAAAAUCGAAUAAAUUGUUAUAACAUUGUGUGCACUACUCUUAAAUCAUUAGGUUUUAUCGUUCAUUUUUCUACUAAUUUUAAAUACACUGCUGCUAUUGAGUCAUUAUAUUUUUAGCUAGUUCCUUUAAUUAUGACAUAUAGUAAUACAGUCGAUUAGAGUAUGCUUCCCAUUUGUUAAUGAUUUUCUCAAUUGUUAAAACACAACCUGAUGAUUGAUGUAGUGCAGCAUAAAUUCCUUAGAAAAAUAGCUUUUCGCUUAAACAACUUUAUGCUGCCUAUGCAACUAUAAACAAUUGUUAAAUAUGCUUAAUUUGAUCUCAUUGCCUGAGCACAGGAUUGUCAACGAUCUUCCUUUUUUAUUUCAAACUAUAAAUAGCAAAAUCUCAUCUUCUGCAAUUAUUAUAACUAAUUUAUUUGCAUUUUCGUUCAAAAACAUUUAGAAAAAGUCACAUAUUUUAUUCUGCUGCCGGAAAAUCUAAAUAUAGUUCAAAUGAUCCAAUUAAUCGAAUAUUGAAACUAGCCAAUACAUUUACGAAUAAGAUCGAUUUAUUCUGUAAUUUUAUUUAUUUUGUGACAAGACAUCUUUAUAUAGAGCUUUAUGUGCUGUUUCAAUCAAUUAUAGAACUUUUGUAAUUGCAUUAAAUUUAGCUUUUGCAUUGUAUAUUAUGUAGCUAUUACUGCUUCUCGUUUCUUUUUUCUUUUUAUCGCUCCUAUCUUUGUUUACUUGAAUACCAACCGAGAAUAAGCGUCUAUCCAUUUUGGUCAAAACUGAGUUACCGACAUAGUACGGUUCUACAGUUGCAGUUUGUUCAAGUACAUUCUACAGUUCGAUAAUUUGACAAAAUAUGAUGAAAACGCAUGUAGAAAAGAAAGUGAAGAGAGUUUAACAAGAGUACUUAAUCAAUUUGUAAAAAGCCUCUAUGAGGCGUUUACAUUGCUUGGAAAGAAAAUAUGCGAAAUAAUUUAUCUCAUUUGACAUAUGCGAAAUAAUUUAACUCACUGAACAUAGAUCGCGUGCGUGCAUCAAAUAUGAUGCAUAUGCAUGUGAUCAUACAUGUACAGCGCGCAGAACAGUGAACGUGUUAAUACAUUGAAAGCAGAAAAUACCUCCAAAAAGCGCAAAUUUAAUUAGCGGACCUAUUACAAUUCUGCGAUUACAAUCCGAAAUCUCACUGAUAUAAUACUUUAUCAAUGACUAACAUGAUGAGUCAACGUAUAAUUGGGACACAUAUGAAGUGACUCAUCUGAUGGAGCCGCGGACUCGAUUGGGUUGAUAACCUAGAAAUGUCCCGUGCAGAACAGGGUAAUUAAGUUGCGAAAAAAUGUCACGCGAAACCGCAUUAUACGAAAUGAAAAAUUAAUGCAAAAACGGUGCUUAAAUUAUGGCAGUUAAGGAAAGCACAUGUGCUAUUUUUUCGUAACUAAUAGAAAUAUGUUGAUUAAAAUAAUCGAUAAUUAAUUUUAAGUAUUCGAUAUUAACAUUAUUCGCGUUACAAAAAUGUCACCAACUUUUUAUCUGAAAAGUUGCUACUACUUUAUAGCGAAAAAAUGAUCGAGAGCAAAGGGUCGAUGCCCGAAGAUUUAAAAAUGGAUAAAAAAUUUCGACGUUCAAAAAUUCUACACGGAAAUCUGAAACGACACAUCACGCUAUCGACGCUAAGUCGAUAUCGAAUGACAGGGCUCGGACAUAAAAAUUCCUGCUACGUUGCUUGUUGUAUGGAUUUCUCCAAUUUCACCAAUUCUCGAAUCGCGGUACAGCGAAAUCGUGUUUUAGUAAUAUCGUUGUACGGGACUUCCCCGAUUCUCACGCUGUUUUAGAACGAACCCGUGUCAUAUAUAUAUCGUGUACAUAUAAUCCUUUGAAAAACAAAUCUUCCAAAGAAGAAGUGGCAGAAGGUAUACUUCUUUCAAAUUGUAGAAAAUACAGAAGCGUGAAACUAACGAUAUCGUAAGGUUGAAAAAGGUGUGCCGAUUCAAAUGGCACACGUUUUGUACGAUUAACAUUAAGAGUAAAUUAAGAUUAUGAGUAAACGCGUUUUCACCUCGUCCAAGGAAAAUACACAUCAUUAAAUAUUGCAACUGAAUACUAUUAACUGAGGAAAAUACCAAUGGUCCAAAUUUGCUUUUUUGCAAUGCUAAUCAGUCUAUAGUUGUUAAGAUGAUAUAGAUAUGCCUCCCUAAGUUAUGUUAGUUUUUGUAAAAAAAAAAAAAAAUAAGAAAGUAAGAUAUAUCUAAAAAAAUGUAAUCGUAUUGCAAUCAAUUUAUGUGAGAAAUAAUUAACUUUCGUAUUGUUAAAGGAUGUUAAAUGAAAUAUGUAAGAAAAGAGAAUUGUUGUUAAAGGUACACAUAGAGAAUAUCGUUCUAAACGUAAAAAUAGUAAAAG